rnacentral:miRNA from 1 species
GAGGGAAAGUUUGUGUUACAGUCAAAAUGUUCCUUGAAAUAUGUGUCUGUAUAUGUGUGUGUGUGUGUGUGUAUAUAUAUAUAUGCACACACAAAUAUGUGCAUGUACAGAUAUAUAC